rnacentral:rRNA from 1 species
GUGGGGAAUAUUGGACAAUGGGCGAAAGCCUGAUCCAGCCAUGCCGCGUGUGUGAAGAAGGUCUUCGGAUUGUAAAGCACUUUAAGUUGGGAGGAAGGGUAGUAACCUAAUACGUUGCUACUUUGACGUUACCGACAGAAUAAGCACCGGCUAACUUCGUGCCAGCAGCCGCGGUAAUACGAAGGGUGCAAGCGUUAAUCGGAAUUACUGGGCGUAAAGCGCGCGUAGGUGGUUCAGUAAGUUGGAAGUGAAAUCCCCGGGCUCAACCUGGGAACUGCCUCCAAAACUGCAUGACUAGAGUACGGUAGAGGGUAGUGGAAUUUCCUGUGUAGCGGUGAAAUGCGUAGAUAUAGGAAGGAACACCAGUGGCGAAGGCGACUACCUGGACUGAUACUGACACUGAGGUGCGAAAGCGUGGGGAGCAAACAGGAUUAGAAACCCGUGUAGUCC